rnacentral:rRNA from 1 species
UUAAGUUGUUGCGGUUGAAAGCUCCUAGUUGGGUUUCUGCGGAGGGAGCGCGGUCCGCACUUGGUGCGUGUAUCUGGUCUACCUACGCAUCUUCCAGUGAAACGCUACUGCGCUUUAUUGCGUGGCGCGGCAAUCUGGACUUUUACUUUGAGGAAAUUGGAGUGUUUACAGCGAGCGAUUGGUUUGAACAUAUUAGCAUGGAAUAAUAACCUAGAACCUUGGUUCUAUUUUGUUGGUUUCUAGACUAGGGUAAUGAUCAAUAGGGAUAAUUGGGGGCAUUUGUAUCAACACAUCAGAGGUGAAAUUCUUGGAUUGUGUUACGACGAACCACUGCGAAAGCAUUUGCCAAGGAUGUUUUCAUUGAUCAAGAACGAAAGUGCAGGGAUCGAAGACGAUUAGAUACCGUCGUAGUCUGCACCGUAAACUAUGCCGAUUAAAGAUUGGAGGUCGUUCUUUUUAUGACUCCUUCAGCACCUUAUGAGAAAUCAAAGUCUUUGGGUUCCGGGGGGAGUAUGGUCGCAAGGCUGAAACUUAAAGGAAUUGACGGAAGGGCA